UCUCCACCCGAGACUCAGUGAAAUUGAACUCGCUGUGAAGAUGCAGUGUACCCGCGGCAAGACGGAAAGACCCCGUGAACCUUUACUAUAGCUUGACACUGAACAUUGAGCCUUGAUGUGUAGGAUAGGUGGGAGGCUUUGAAGUGUGGACGCCAGUCUGCAUGGAGCCGACCUUGAAAUACCACCCUUUAAUGUUUGAUGUUCUAACGUGGACCCGUAAUCCGGGUUGCGGACAGUGUCUGGUGGGUAGUUUGACUGGGGCGGUCUCCUCCUAAAGAGUAACGGAGGAGCACGAAGGUUGGCUAAUCCUGGUCGGACAUCAGGAGGUUAGUGCAAUGGCAUAAGCCAGCUUGACUGCGAGCGUGACGGCGCGAGCAGGUGCGAAAGCAGGUCAUAGUGAUCCGGUGGUUCUGAAUGGAAGGGCCAUCGCUCAACGGAUAAAAGGUACUCCGGGGAUAACAGGCUGAUACCGCCCAAGAGUUCAUAUCGACGGCGGUGUUUGGCACCUCGAUGUCGGCUCAUCACAUCCUGGGGCUGAAGUAGGUCCCAAGGGUAUGGCUGUUCGCCAUUUAAAGUGGUACGCGAGCUGGGUUUAGAACGUCGUGAGACAGUUCGGUCCCUAUCUGCCGUGGGCGCUGGAGAACUGAGGGGGGCUGCUCCUAGUACGAGAGGACCGGAGUGGACGCAUCACUGGUGUUCGGGUUGUCAUGCCAAUGGCACUGCCCGGUAGCUAAAUGCGGAAGAGAUAAGUGCUGAAAGCAUCUAAGCACGAAACUUGCCCCGAGAUGAGUUCUCCCUGAGACUUAGAGUCUCCUGAAGGAACGUUGAAGACGACGACGUUGAUAGGCCGGGUGUGUAAGCGCAGCGAUGCGUUGAGCUAACCGGUACUAAUGAACCGUGAGGCUUAACCUU
rnacentral:rRNA from 1 species